AUUUUUACGCGAUAUAAAUACCCAAAAUCAUAAAAUUGAGGGCAUGAACGACCAGGGAGAAAAAAUACACUCAAUUUGAAGGCAAGAAACACAAUCUUGGGCUUGAUUUCACAAGGAUUCAAGAAGGAAUUGAAGAUUACACACAAAAUAGAAAGAUUAUCAUACGGGUGUAUUCUUUAUAUCUUUUAAUUUCGUUUUAAUUCUUGAUUUUGUAAUUAUGAUCAUAGGCUAGGGUUUUUAUUCAUUAGGAAAUCAAUGAACCUUUGAUUAUUU
rnacentral:lncRNA from 1 species